GACGAACGCUGGCGGCGUGCCUAAUACAUGCAAGUAGAACGCUGAAGAGAGGAGCUUGCUCUUCUUGGAUGAGUUGCGAACGGGUGAGUAACGCGUAGGUAACCUGCCUUGUAGCGGGGGAUAACUAUUGGAAACGAUAGCUAAUACCGCAUAACAAUGGAUGACACAUGUCAUUUAUUUGAAAGGGGCAAUUGCUCCACUACAAGAUGGACCUGCGUUGUAUUAGCUAGUAGGUGAGGUAAUGGCUCACCUAGGCGACGAUACAUAGCCGACCUGAGAAGGUGAUCGGCCACACUGGGACUGAGACACGGCCCAGACUCCUACGGGAGGCAGCAGUAGGGAAUCUUCGGCAAUGGGGGCAACCCUGACCGAGCAACGCCGCGUGAGUGAAGAAGGUUUUCGGAUCGUAAAGCUCUGUUGUAAGUCAAGAACGGGUGUGAGAGUGGAAAGUUCACACUGUGACGGUAGCUUACCAGAAAGGGACGGCUAACUACGUG
rnacentral:rRNA from 1 species